CCACAUAUUCAUUGCCAAUAAUCAUUUAUCUCACAGUCUAGUUGUUCAUAUUCCCAAUGCAGCAGCUGCUUCUACAAUUGAGAUUGUUGAUUUUUUGCUUGUCAAACUUGAUUGCACUUUUCAGAGUGUAACAUUCAACAAUCAUUUGCAACAUGACCCUUCUUAUGGCAGUCUUUCUUUGCAAAUAGCAUGCCAUCACUUCAGCAUAUUUUCCUCAAGAGUCUGUAGAGUUCAAAGCAACUCUUUGUAGUUCUGGGGCUCUUGAUUUUGAUGGUUGAGUUCUGUGUAUAAUAUCUUCAAUGCC
rnacentral:sRNA from 1 species